rnacentral:lncRNA from 1 species
AGUUUUGGUGUCUGGACAGGUGGAUCAUUGAUACAUGUGACCAGGUAACCAUAUGAGUGAAAUUUGUGUGGAAUAGCUAUACAGACCAUGAAGUUGAGAUGUGAAGAGAUGCAGGUCUUUGUUAUACAUGGUGUAUGAGGGAAACAUGGUGCAUGGCAGUCAUAGAAAACAUUUAAAAAUUGGGGACUUCGAAACAUACCCAAGCUGAAGAAUAUAGUUUUGGUGUCUGGACAGAUGGAUCAUGGAUACAUGUGCCCAGGUAACCAUAUGAG